rnacentral:rRNA from 1 species
AGAGUUUGAUCCUGGCUCAGAUUGAACGCUGGCGGCAGGCCUAACACAUGCAAGUCGAGCGGAAACGAGUUAUCUGAACCUUCGGGGAACGAUAACGGCGUCGAGCGGCGGACGGGUGAGUAAUGCCUAGGAAAUUGCCCUGAUGUGGGGGAUAACCAUUGGAAACGAUGGCUAAUACCGCAUGAUGCCUACGGGCCAAAGAGGGGGACCUUCGGGCCUCUCGCGUCAGGAUAUGCCUAGGUGGGAUUAGCUAGUUGGUGAGGUAAGGGCUCACCAAGGCGACGAUCCCUAGCUGGUCUGAGAGGAUGAUCAGCCACACUGGAACUGAGACACGGUCCAGACUCCUACGGGAGGCAGCAGUGGGGAAUAUUGCACAAUGGGCGCAAGCCUGAUGCAGCCAUGCCGCGUGUAUGAAGAAGGCCUUCGGGUUGUAAAGUACUUUCAGUCGUGAGGAAGGCGUUGUAGUUAAUAGCUGCAUCGUUUGACGUUAGCGACAGAAGAAGCACCGGCUAACUCCGUGCCAGCAGCCGCGGUAAUACGGAGGGUGCGAGCGUUAAUCGGAAUUACUGGGCGUAAAGCGCAUGCAGGUGGUUUGUUAAGUCAGAUGUGAAAGCCCGGGGCUCAACCUCGGAAUAGCAUUUGAAACUGGCAGACUAGAGUACUGUAGAGGGGGGUAGAAUUUCAGUGUAGCGGUGAAAUGCGUAGAGAUCUGAAAGGAAUACCGGUGGCGAAAGCGGCCCCCUGGACAGGUACUGACACUCAGAUGCGAAAGCGUGGGGAGCAAAC